UCAGUGGACAUGAAUUCAAUUCUCAGACCCACAUGGAACUGUUCACAAAUGCCCAAAACUCUAGCUUCAAGACAUCUCGUACCCUCUUCUAGCCCAAAGAGAAGCACGAGCUUACCUGUACAUAAUAUGAAUCAGCCAUUCUGCAGCAAGCAUGACAAUUUCCCUUGAAAAUAACUCUGUGAUUUCCAUCAGAUCAGGCAAUUGUUUAAAACUCAUCAUGAAAGUUGAGAGUUUCUGGUCCCAUACUUCAUUUAUUUUUCAUGUUAUU
rnacentral:lncRNA from 1 species